CUGCGUGCCCCGCUGGCCGCGCCGGGCUGCCCCGAAGGAUGUCCGCCCAGUCCAAAGGGACCGCAUCCUCCUCCUCCUCGCCGUCCGAGGGGCCGCCGGCAGCCUCCAAAGCCAAGGUGAAGGAGCAGAUCAAGAUCAUCGUGGAGGAUUUGGAAUUAGUCCUGGGGGACCUGAAAGAUGUCGCCAAGGAACUUAAAGAGGUGGUUGACCAGAUUGACACACUGACAUGUGAUCUGCAGCUGGAGGAUGAGAUGACAGACAGUUCCAAAACAGACACACUCAACAGCAGCUCCAGCAGCACAACAGCCUCCAGCUUGGAGAAGGUCAAGGUGCGUGGCAACGUGCCCCUCAUCAAGCCCCCCGCGCACCCCUCUGCCAUUCUCACCGUGCUGCGGAAGCCGAACCCACCCCCUCCUCCCCCUCGACUGACACCUGUCAAAUGUGAUGAGCCUCCCAGGCUGCCUCCUUUGGCCAACCCAGUCAAGACCAACGGCACCCUGCUGCGAAAUGGGGGCUUGCCCGUCGGGCCCGGCCGCAUCCCCAACGGAGACAUGUGCUGUAUUCCGAACAGCAACUUGGAGAAAGUGGUGAUGCAGCCUCUGGUGCACAGAGCUGAGAAGGAGCGGUGCGCUCAGCCGGGAGCGAGGGAGCGGGUACGGUUCAGUGAAAAAGUGCAGUACCACGGCUACUGCCCCGACUGUGACGUUCGGUAUAACAUUAAAAACAGGGAGGUGCACUUGCACAGCGAGCCGGCCCGGGUUGCAGGGAAGCUGCCACACCAGUGCCCUCCUCUGCCACCUCCUCCACCUCCGCUGCCUCCGUUCCUUCUGGAAAAUGGAGGGUUGGGGAUAAGUCCCAGUAAUAGCUUUCCUCCUCCGAGACCUGCAACUGUGCCUCCACAAACUGCGCCAAAACCCCAGAAGACCAUCUUGAGGAAGUCAACCACUACAACAGUGUGAAGUAUGCCCCUUGUAAUAACUCUUUGUUUUUUCCUAUAUAUAAACAUAAAUAGGUAAUGAGCACUUUCUACUUGAGCAAUAAAAAGACCCAAUGUAUUACACCCUGUGUCCAGUGAAGUGGCAUAAAAAUCACAGGGUCUCACACAAGAAGCUGACUUCUCACAUGCUACAGAGGAGGUGAAGUCUUCUGACUCUUUAACUUGUCUCCCCCAGCCCUUUAAGUAAAGCCAUAUUCUCUUGUGGAUGAGUGGAGUUACCUGACACUCAUUGCAGCAACAAAGGCAGCUGAGCCUCUUUUCAACUGCUCUCUCCUGGACACCUUCAGGCUUGAAGGAAUACCUAUAUUUGGAGGCACGUCAAUUAAUUUGCAUAUCAGAUUCAUCAUUGUGACUUCUUGCAGGCCAGAUCUGAGAAGUAACCAGGAAAGCUGACCCUUAGUGGAGAAUGGAAAAAACAUUGAAGUCAGAGCACAACUGAUCACUAGUGUAACCUGCAUUGAAUCAUCUUUCUCAGAUCUGACAGCUACAAGCUGACUCCUGGCAAAAGCCACAGCCUUAAAUUCCAUUUAGUGAGAAAGAAGGAUAAGACAGCUCAAUGUCUCGCCCUGUUGCAGAAACUGCUGUCUCCAAGCCUGACACCUGAGUUCUGUGCUGAGCAGCCAGAGUACCAAACAACCAGUUUUUUAUGGGUACAGCCAGCAUCAACAAAUAUUUCAAUAUAUAGCCAAAAGGAGAAACAAAGCACUUACAUAAUUUCAGAAAAUGGAUACGUUUAUUGUAACAGAGGAAUGUUACUGUCUGUGGGGAAGAAGACCUCUGUCACCCCUUGUACAUAUUCAAAGCCAUACAGGAGCAGGGCAUAAGUGAAGCCCAGUCACUUAAAAGGAUGGUGUCUCCUGUCCUUCACCCAACUUUGAGGAAGUUCCGCUCUUAGAGAUUGCAUCUCAAUGCACUUCUAUUAUUUGCACUGUCACUUCCAUUCAGGGUAAUGAUGUGUGCCACCAUUUGCACAGAUGGCCCCAGGAGAUUUUUGACCACAACAAGCUAUACUUUGCCAGGGCUCCAAAAGGAAUUAAAAAGUUAAAACUGAAGAAAGACAUUUAUGCUCUCUUUCACUAUGGGGAUCUCUUCACAGAAAGGACUAUGGUUCUUUCUUAGGAUGAAAUAAAUACAUGCAUAUACAUACAUAUAUACAUAUGUAUAUAUAUGAAAAAGCAGCAACAUGAUAAGGUGUAUUUAAAAAGGGGAUAUAAUCUUUUUAAUAGCAUCCAUUUUUUUUAUCAUAUUAGCAGCCAAGAAAUUUAGUCUAUUGAAUUAUACAUCAAAAAAUGUUCCUACUGAACACUGACAUUUAGUCCCAGUUCCUGCUAAAGAAGUCAUUUGUAAUAUGUAUUUGACAUAAAUUUUUUCUAGCCAUUUGUCUAUACUUCAUGGAGAAAUCUAACAGACAAGCAACAUUUUCGGUUUAUUUUUCUAAAUAAAUGUUUUGUUUGUAUUAUUUGCAGUCACUCAUUUUGGCUGGUUUUCAUUAUCUCCUAAUGUGAUUUAAAGACAGAACCAAAACACAGGGAUUGUUUGUUCUUGUUAAGCUGUAAUGAUUUGCUGAAUGAAAGCUUUAAUAUAAAUACUGUAAUUUGUAAAAUGAUGAAGUAUAUUUAUAUAGGCAAAUAUGUAUGGAAAACAAAAGGAGGUAUUUUAUCUCUUAAUUUCAGAACAUAGUUUAUUUUAAUAUCCACAGGAAGAAAUUAAAUAUAUAAUGGGAUAGGAUUUUUAUUAUAAGUAAGUGAAAAUUUGGAUGUUUAAGAAUGAAAUGAAUGUAGUCAAAUAAUGGUGGUUUCCCAAAUUAUACAGAGACCUUUUGCCAGCUGUCUCAUUUUACUCGAAAACUGGUUUAGUCAUCUGGGGGGGGUCGGGUUUUUCUGGGGGGGGUGUGUGUGUGCUAAGCUUUUUGUUUGGUGCUUUGUUUGUUUCAGCAUACUGACAAGACCAUGAAUUUGAUACUGUUUGCUCACAAUUUGAAAAGCUACAGAAUAAAAGAUGGUUUCUUAGAACAAUCUACAGUUUGCAGUUAAGAACAGCCAUUGUUACCCAUCUAGUGCAGUGAUUUGUUGUGGAGUUAUUGAACAUUUCAAUACUAGAGCUGUUUUGAAUAAAAAUGGGGUUUUUUUCCUUUUUUUUCCUUAGUCCAUUAGCCUAUGUGUUAUUUAAAGAGAAAAGUAAUGCAUUUGGUUCCCAAUUCACUUAAAUCAUUUGUCUUAAAUCCAGUUAUAUGUAUCUGAUUCAUAAAGCUGAAUAGGCUUUUCUUUCAAAGUUCAUUGCUUUAUGGAAGCAUUUAAGUGCUCACUAAAAGAAAAAAUACCUUUCAACAACAAAAAAUAAUUUAAAAUAAUCUGUGGGUUAACUUUGUGAAGGGCAGAUACCUUAAAAAUGUGUCGCUCUGCUCUAAUGUACUAACAAGUGUUAUGCGUGUACGUUCGUGUGUGUGUGUUUUCACGCAUGGCACCCUUACCUGCUCAUGAAUGAAAUGCCAGCUCUGCUGAAGUAAGUGCCACAAGUCCUGUUACUGCAAAAGAUGCUCAUGUUACUGUAUUUUUUGGUGAAAGACCUGAGCUCUGUCUUUGCUUGUGACUCUGAAGCCAUAAGCAGCUUUUGAAGUUUGUCAGGAAAUCAGAAAAUUAAGUAGGUUUAUGUUAGGCUCCCUCAUUUGGCAAAUAUUGGAAUGAUCUUAUGAUUUGACUUUUUAUGGAAGUUAGUGGUCAAUUUCCUUUGGUGCAAUGGAUAAAUGCAACCUUUGUAUUUGUUAAAGAAUGAUGGCUGUGUUUUGUUCACACACAAUUUAGCUUUUGGCUUAUAGUGUUCUUACUGUGAUGUCAUUUCUGUGUCAUUAGAAUACAUUAUUCGGACACACAACUGGCAUGGGCUUGGUUUUCCUCCAUUUCUGGAUCAUCUAGAUUUUAAAAUUGGAGAGAUUGUUCUUUGAGACAAAUAUUCAGUUGUUUAAGAAAGGGACAACAUUAUUGAAACAAUAAGAAAAUUUCAGAAUGAUAAUUUGAACACUUCCGUCAUUGCCUAAUAACAACACUUGAAAAAGCUUUUAUUUUUGUGAACAAAAUGCAUUCAUCUGUAUUUGAAAAUAGCCCAAUAAAAAUCCAGUGGAAUAAUUUGUUACUACUUGCAAAUACUUUUCUGCCAUGCUGAGUUCUAGAUCAGCUUGUGUGUAAAAUUUUUAUUGCACAAAAUCCACCUGAAAAAAAAAUGCACAGUUUUCUUCAGAAAAAUACAUGAGAUAUGAAAAAUAAUUACUUGGUCCCAGGAGUGGUUUUAUGUAACAUGUGCAAUGCAAAAAUGAUGAACAUAUACCAACACAGAGGUCUAAUUUAAGUGACAAAUGUAGUUGGAAGAUAACACUGCAAACCACAGGUCUCACUAAUGACAUGCUGUUAUUUGCACCUCUGCUUAACUGGGACUUCAUGCUGGAAAGUAAAUUUCAGGGUGUAUGCAGAAUCAUACAAUGCCGUGUAUCAUGUCUUAUUUUACUUCCAGUGUCAUUGGAAGAAGUCCAGAUUGCUUGAUUUUCAUAGAUUUAAUUUAAAUCUUUACAUAAGUAUUACAUAUCGGAUAUCAAUUAAGAUUGUCUGUAUAUUGUACAGAUACUCUCAUGAGAUAGCAUCUCAACAUAUAAUUUCAGAAAUUUUGGCAAAUAAUUAGCACUGAAAUGCUUUUUCCUAGUUUGAAACCAGAGGAGAUAGUUAGAUUAUCUCCUUGAACAGCAAAAAAAUUUUAUUAUUUCCAUUCUGUUCAUCCAAGCAUACUGAUGAGACCAGCAGAACUCUUUCAACUAAGAUGAUUUUACAGCAACUGAUGGGUCCUUUUUAUGUGUCAUGCAUGUAAGAAAUGCCUACAGAAAUAAUUCUCUAGUAAUAGUGCAUCGUUUCAUUAGCUAGCAUCUGAAAAGCCACUUAAAAUAGGUUUGAAAGGAUGAGGUGUGCAAAACACAAUCCUGACAGUUCUAGAUGUGUCUACAAGACAUAAUUUCAGCACUUAAAUUUUUGAAAGAGCAUAUCAUCAUUCAUGAGAAAAAAUGGUAUAUGCUAAAAUAUCUCCUUUGCAAAGUAGAAGAAAAAGAUUACAAAAACCUGGUGAUCACCAGGAUGUUAUAAAAGCAUCCCUCUCCUGAGAGUUGCCCCAAGUGUCACAUAUUGCAAAUGUCACCAAGGGACAGAUUUUUUUUCUCAGAUCAGUGAUGUACUGGGUACAUAGCAAGGCAGUGACGCUGUUAAUAAAACCUGACCACAAGACAGUGGUGGGUUAUUGUCUAAAGAGGGAUGGAGGAAGGACAGCCAUCACUCUGCCCUGGAGCUCCCCACAAGGGAGGAGUCUUGGUCUUAGGAGGAAUAAAUCAGUGAUUUAUCAGACUAAAUCAGGAUUUUCAUGCACUGGACUGCUGAAGAUGCUAUGAGAGAGGAAGCAAAAGCCAAGUGGAUGUUGUUCAAAUUACUUCUCUCUGUAGGUUCCAUAUCCUUGCAGAGCUGCCAGAAAGCCAUGAAAUCUCCCCAAAGUUGGGCUGAACUUCAGAAAAGACAAUUAUAACCAGGGACUCCUGUUUGGGAGAAUCUGGGAGAGGGUUAAGUCAUGGCAGAUGGCACAGAGACUAUUUAAGGUAUUACUGAAGGCAGAGAACAAAUACAUUCUGCUUAGCUGGAAAGGCUUGAGAAAGGGUAAAAGGGAAACCGCAUGGCUAAUCAGCAGGGUAUCAGAGGCUACUGAGGGCAAGACGUCCUUCAGAUAGCUGAAGAUUUUUCAAGAAAAUGUAAGGACUAAAUGUAAGACUAAAUAUAAUUUUAAAGAAAACCAAACAGACAAAACAAACAAGCCCAGAGCAACAUUAAUCAAAACAAUUCCAAGAUACUUAAGAGAUUUGUCAGCUACAAUAGUUGAAAGAAAAGCGAAUUAAGAAAUUCUGUUUCUACGACAGCACACAGGGAAGUCUGGGUGUCGGUCUGUAAUGCUGAAAGAUUAUCAAGGAAGCACUUAGAAGAAGCUAUAGGAAGAAAAUUGUAGCAUUUUAAUUCUGCUCAUGCUGUGGAAGGACUUUUCUAGAUUCAUACACAUGAAUUUCUGUGGGGGAGCUCAUGUGAAGUCAUGGUUUGUCAGUUUGAGGUGGUACAGAACAAAAUGAAGGGAUAUACACCUAAGAUUUUUAAAGACAGUCAGGGAUGAAAUAGCCAAACUGUACCUGUGGUGUGAAAUUCAUUAUUUAAAGCUAUUUUGAUAGCUUUUGAGAUGUGAGGUUGCACCUAUGUUGCCAUUUAGAUUGAAAGAGUAUGGUCCAUUAUAUCAGUAAGGGGCAGAAGGGUUCAAACUAUAAUAAUAUCUUACUAGAAAGAGCUAGAAUGCAUCUAAUGGUGUCAAUAUUACCAAAAACCACAGGAAAUUGCACAGAUGGCAAAGAGAAAACACAGAGGAAACUGUAGCUGGCUUAGAGGAAAGUUACUGCACUCACAAAAAGGUGUAAAAUAUUAGAGAAAAUAGUGAUUUUUGUGUCAGUUUUCACAGGGUGACAGAGGCCAAGAGUGAAAUUCCAGGGGACAUAUUCUCUGAUCCAUGUGUCUUAAAAUAUAUUUGAACAUGUGAAUAUGCUGGAAAAGUAAUGUAUAAUUAUUUGGUAAAUUUGGUAAUCAUAUUAAGUUAUUAAAGGUGUUAAAUAGGA